GGUGCCUGUGUGUGCGCGCGUCUCGCUGCCCCCCCCCCUCCCGCCGACUUCCAGGUGCGUAUAUCGAUGUAUGCGCACAUAUUUGUGCCAAAAUUUCGUAUUGUCUUCAGACGCUCUCUUCUUUUUUGUUGUUGUUUAUCUGGUUUCCCUCUCUCGCUGAACACUUGUCACCAUCUGCAGCUUCUCUUGCCCCCACCCCCUUCAUCCUUCCUCUUCCUCUUAGCCGAUUUUCAUUAGUUGGCCGGCCAUUACACAUAGCGCGUGGGUGUGUGCUGCAUCUCUGUGCGUCGUGCUACCGCAGACGCGGUGCAUAUAAAGGAGCGUUGUGGGGGUGGGGCUGAAGAGCGUUCGUUUCGCAGACACACACACACACACAUACACAAAACUUUCUCUUUGGGCAAUCUCCUUGCUGCUACUGUCCCUUCUGUUUUUUUUUUCUCCCUUUUCUUCGUGUGCGUUUGUUGAGAGUGUUGACCACACCCACGUACACACGUACUCUCUCUCUUUCAUGCAGGCAAACAUCGCUGUGGUUUGUCCCCUCCACCUCUUCAUCCUUUUCACGCCUUCCUCUCUGCUCUUUAUUGCCCUUUAUCCUUGUGUGUGUGUCCUCUGUUGGCUUUUGCCUCUUGUGUGUGGGCAUUUACGUGGUUUCGUACGUCUUGGUCUGCUGCUCGGCUUGUCUUUGCUCCCCAUCGACCUCCCUACCACUACAUCCCUUCAUCGUCAUUCUUACCAGUGCCUCGCUGUGUAACACCCUCUCCCACCCGUGCGCUCCUGUCUACCUGUUUGUGUGCUUGUGCGUCCGCCUUAUCGAGUUGCCCUACUACCCACCCUCUCCCCAUCUCCCCUCUAUUUUUCCCUCUCGUUUUUUUCGCCCCUCCCCCCUUUCCCCAUCAUUUGCCUUAUUUUUCUUGUUGGACCCCUCCUCCUUUUUGGUUGCAGUGCGCGUGUCUGUUCUCUGGUCUUUCUCGACCCCCUCCCACCCCUCCCGUCCCGUCUGUUCUUCCCUCUUCCUUGCUCGAGGGCUUCGAUUGUUUGCUUGUUUCCACACACCACACCGCCCUUCACCUUGCACAGCGGCGAACACACGCAGAGACACUCCACUCGCAUAGAAGCAUACAUUGGCCAAACAGCAGCAAAGCAAAACAACAGCAAAAGGGAAAGCGCUUGCCUGUUACAUCUGUUUUGCUUGCUUCUGUCGACGGGUUUUUAUCAUCCCCUCCCCCAUUCAUUCCUUCUUUACUUCCGCAUUCUUCUUUUUUUUUCCUUGCGCUGAUCUCGUGUUCUUGACAGGUGUGCCUCUCUCUCUCUGUGCGUGUGAGUUUUUCGCACGUGCGGCUCUCUUCCCUUUUAUGUUCUUGUUCGCCCUUUGCGCGCCCUCUCGUUCUUCCAGUGGCCCACAGGCUCGCAAUACCAUUCUGUUUGCCCGCCCCCGACACACACACACACACACACACAUGCAUGCAUACUCAGUGUUCAUUUACUCGAAUCUCUCCUCCUCCUCCUCCUCUCUUCAUUUUGAACUCUUCCCUCCUCCACUGCUUGACCCCAUCUGUCCUCUGCACCCGCUCUCCUCACCGCCUCACUUUUCUUUCCCCUAGAAACAUAAAACAAGCACCCCCCUCCACACACACACAAACAAACUUCCUCUUUUUUCUCUUGUGUUGCUUGGUAUCUUCCCUCCUACCUUCUCCCCUCCCUCCCACCCUACUCGUGCGUCGUCACUCGUAGAACUGUAGAUUGUUCUCGUUCCGCGUCGUGCCGUUUUGCCACUGCUCUUCUCCCUCCUUCCUUUCUCGCCAUCACUCACACGCGCCCAUACAAAGCGGCUUUGGCUCUCUGAUUCCGUCUCUCCCCCCCUCUCCCCCUCCCCCCUCUCCCCCCUCUCCCCCCCUCUUUAUCGGUAUCAGCACAGGGUGCGCACGCCGGUGUACACGAGAGAGAAGCGUGCCUUGUAUAAAACCAGAACACAAAAAAAAAGCAUAUUAUUAUUAGCAUUAUUAUUAUUUUUUUUUUUUGGGAGGCUGGUUUCGAGUGUAAGCCGUUGUUUCCCUGAUUUCGGUUUCUCAUCAUUGUGUAUUUGGUGGUUUCGCAGCAGCUGAAUGCCGCCGCUGCGCCGCCCGUUGCAGCCGCGGCUCACAGAGCAGACGCCUUCCCUAAAGGCCGCCCCUGAGUUAGCGGCGACUCACGGCGACACACUAUCUCUGGUGCCGCCACCGAGCGCCUCCCUCGUGUGGGCGAAGGCGCCGCGCGUUGUAGCAAAAGGCGGGGCGCUGUGCCGAGCAGGACGGGCCCACGCACAAGUAUCGCCUAUCGUCUCGCCCUCUCACAAUGGCCGACACAACACCCGGUGGAACAGCGCUCGAGGCACUACAGAGACCCUGAAGAGCACCGGGGCUUCCACGAGACGUAGUGCGCCGCGUAGCUCUGCAUUAGCCGCGGAGAGCGACAGGGAGACAACCGCUCGAGUCAUGUCCGCCCGUUCAUCUGUCCGAGCCAGAUCUGCAGAGCCGUGCCCAUGCCCAUCCUUCGACACCUUCGACCACGCUGCUGCACUCAGGUGCGCUACUGAUGCAUUCGCAGGAGAGAGCGAAGAGGCUCUCCGCGCCCCAGACCACCUGACUCGAGCAACUCGUCCCGCAUCUGCCCAGGCACACUACAACGCACGUGCGAGCACCUAUGCUCGCCCGCAGCUGAGUGAGGCGAGCGAUGCGGUGGUCGCAGGGCGGCAAAGUCGUGCGGUGUGCGGCAGUCCCGCCCGCGACGUUUCUUACACACACUCCAUAUCCUCUCCAGUGCUGCACCCCAGUGGCUCUGCGUCCUUCGCGGAAGCCGCGCCGCACCCAAGUCAUCCCCGUAACUUCGCUGCGUCUGCUGCCGCUAGCAGGGAAGGGGAAAGAGAUAAGGGCUGCGCCUCACUGCCGCAGUCGCCCUCCAGCACCACCGCUGCUGGUAGUGCGACCCGCUACGGCACAGAGGGGCCGGCAACCCUAGACAAGCCGUGGUUGGCCACAUCUCCAGCCCACAGCAUCCUUAAAGGGAGGGGGCGCAUGAACAGCACCACACGUAUCGUGUCGAGCGCCGUCUCUUCGACCGGGUCCACAUCCUCUUCCCGUCGUGCGCACACCCCAUCCAGUGUUCCGAAGGCUGCCAUUAGUGGCUCAAGGGCACGCUCAUUGUCCAAUCCAGAAAGCAUCAGCGUGCAGGAGUCCGCAAGGCAGUCACGGCACGUGACGUUCGACGAGGCUGCGAUCAAGUAUCUCGACGCCUCCGAGAGUCACGUUGUAUACGAUGACAAUCGGCUGGGAAGGCACCCGGAGAAGGUGGAGUGCUUGACUGCGAUGCUGUCGCCCUGCGCCGUGAGGGACUUCGAU
rnacentral:misc_RNA from 1 species